GUGAUCAUUUAUGCAGCACAUAUACUACAAUUUGAAUGAUACAGAGAUUUGUAUGUCCCUUUCACAAGAAUGACAUGCAAAUUUGUGAAAUAUUCCAUAUAGUU